CAGUAGCCGCGGUAAUACGAGGGGGGCAAGCGUUGUUCGGAAUUAUUGGGCGUAAAGGGCGCGUAGGCGGUUUGGCAAGUUUGGUGUGAAAUCUUCGGGCUCAACCCGAAGUCUGCACGGGAAACUACUGGGCUUGAGUGUGGAAGAGGGUUGUGGAAUUCCCAGUGUAGAGGUGAAAUUCGUAGAUAUUGGGAAGAACACCGGUGGCGAAGGCGGCGACCUGGUCCUUGACUGACGCUGAGGCGCGAAAGCGUGGGGAGCAAACAGGAUUAGAUACCCCAGUAGUCCCUGUCUCUUAUAC
rnacentral:rRNA from 1 species